AAGCAAUUAGUCCAAAAUAAGACCCUUGAUUUCGACUCAAAAGACCAUGGUUAAAACCCACGAUUGUUUU
rnacentral:tRNA from 1 species